rnacentral:rRNA from 1 species
GAUGAACGCUGGCGGCGUGCCUAAUACAUGCAAGUCGAGCGAACAGACGAGAGUGCUUGCACUCUCUGACGUUAGCGGCGGACGGGUGAGGAACACGUGGGUAACCUACCUAUAAGACUGGGAUAACUUCGGGAAACCGGAGCUAAUACCGGAUAAUAUUUAGCUUCGCAUGAAGCAAUAGUGAAAGACGGUUCUGCUGUCACUUAUAGAUGGACCCGCGGUGUAUUAGCUAGUUGGUGAGGUAACGGCUCACCAAGGCAACGAUACAUAGCCGACCUGAGAGGGUGAUCGGCCACACUGGGACUGAGACACGGCCCAGACUCCUACGGGAGGCAGCAGUAGGGAAUCUUCCGCAAUGGACGAAAGUCUGACGGAGCAAUGCCGCGUGAGUGAAGAAGGUUUUCGGAUCGUAAAACUCUGUUGUAAGGGAAGAACAAGUACGUUAGUAACUGAACGUACCUUGACGGUACCUUACCAGAAAGCCACGGCUAACUACGUG